CUUUUGAUUGUUUGGUCACACCACACUACAACUCAAACAUUCUGAGCUGACCCAGUGGGGACAUGCAAACAUUUUCCAUAAGAGCCUUGUGGUCAGUGAUAUACAGGUUCAGAAUUCUGGGAUCUAUUAUUAACAAGCCAUGAGAAGUCAGAAAUCCUUUCAAGCUCUUGUACUCUGCUUCUUUGACCAUCACAAGAGAAUUCAACUUUCUGUUUAACUUAGAAAGGCUUGGGAUAAAGGGCUCAAGCACCUCUUACUGCCUCCUCACUCUGGAACCAAAUGCCUUACUUGACAGGAUCACAGAAUGUGAAUUUUGAACAGAUCUGAAAAGUUAUUAAGUUCAACUCCACAGAGGUUCCUAGGAGAAUGUUAACAGUCCAGACCUUUUUCACUACAUCAACCACGGAUGAUUGGCAUAUAAAAUCCUACUUAACCUUUACAUAACUGCAAUACCAGGAAACAAAUAUGUCAAUAAAAGGAAACAUCAUUCAAUUUUUCUGAGAAUGCAUUCUUCCAUCAUUCCUGAAGUAGAGGUGUACAAAGCAAACUUCUAAUGCACUGCUGGUUUACAUUUCCUGUAUUUUCAGUCUAAACAAAAAUAAAAAGAACAAAACAGCUAAAAUGAUGAGGGAAAGCACAGAUCAUUCCUAAACAGUCAAUUCUAGAGCCAGUCCUUCAGUUCAAGAAUAACUCAACAGCCUAGAGAGAAGAAAAUAAGAAGCUAUAGUGAACAAAAGAAGAAAAAUGAAAAGGUGACCACCAGGAGAAUGAAGUAUAUUGGAGAAUAAAUGUCCCACCGUUUCCUGAUUUCUUGUUGAUGGCCUGGGCUACACCAACAACCUGGUAUAAGGAGAGAAAAGCGACAAUUUUUUUAUUGACUGAAAUUACUUGUAAAAAUUCACCAAAAUGUAUUUAUAGAAGAUAUCCUGCAUGUGCUUUAAAAUAACACUAGUCUACAAAACAAAAGCAAAACCCCUCAUCAGCAUUUGAGCAAGCUUUACAUCAUUUACCACAUUCUUUCAUCCUAAUAAGAAUUCGAAUGUUUUUAAUUUAUUAGGGCCCAAACUAUGUUUGAUCCUGUGAUUUCACCCUGCAUUUUGAAUGAAAUUAUUUUAGCAAUCACAUUUUAAGUAUAUAUUUUCCAUAGUUUUUAAAUAUAAACAACACAUUUUGAUUACAGUUCCAAUAAAGUAUA
rnacentral:lncRNA from 1 species